rnacentral:rRNA from 1 species
AUACGGAGGGUGCAAGCGUUAAUCGGAAUUACUGGGCGUAAAGCGCGCGUAGGCGGUUUGCUAAGUCAGAUGUGAAAUCCCCGGGCUUAACCUGGGAACUGCAUUUGAGACUGGUAGGCUAGAGUGUGGUAGAGGUGAGUGGAAUUUCAGGUGUAGCGGUGAAAUGCGUAGAGAUCUGAAGGAACAUCAGUGGCGAAGGCGACUCACUGGGCCAUUACUGACGCUGAGGUGCGAAAGCGUGGGUAGCAAACAGGAUUAGAUACCCUGGUAGUCCACGCCCUAAACGAUGUCAACUAGGUGUAUGGGAAAUUUAUUUCUUGUGUAUCGAAGCUAACGCGAUAAGUUGACCGCCUGGGGAGUACGGUCGCAAGACUAAA